GGUCCUAUAGCUCAGCUGGUUAGAGCACCUGACUCAUAAUCAGGGGGUCCCUGGUUCGAGCCCAGGUGGGACCACCU
rnacentral:tRNA from 1 species